GGGAACGAGCAGAAGGGAAAAACCCAUUCUUGCCCUAGUUCAUCAAAUCUCUACAAUUGGAUGUGUUUCUGGACCUAAUUUGAAUGCAUGUGACCAAAUUCUCAACCAUCUAAGAGUUUCCUACAUAGGGACUGAAAGAAGAAGGAGCUAAUUUCGGUUCGCAACAAAAGGCUCAAGAACGAGGUAAAACUCAAGCUUAAGUGUUUUUGCCUCGCUCGGAUCGAACACACCUUGAAUGCCCUUAUUGCGCUUCCGCAACUUUUGGAGUAUCAACAAUGGUUAAAUGCUUUUGUUAAGUUAGACUAUGUUUGGUGAUAAAUGGUUUGAAUAUUGUAAACAGGGAAUUGUUCAUAAUGCGAACGGGUCAUGUCCGAAUUUUGUUAAAUAA
rnacentral:lncRNA from 1 species